GGAGUUGUGAGCACAAGGAAAACAGUGUUUGGGGAGAUAACUCCUACAAAGAAAAGUAUUCGGUUACGCAGGGUAAAUUUCAAAAGCGCAUAAAACUGUUCGAUAUCAUAUACCAAAUAUCAAAGCGACAUAUUGCGAAACAAAUGUUUAUCGCAAGAACAAAAUUAGGCGGAAGAAAAAAAAAAAAAAAAAAAAUAAUCAGAAGAAAAACAAUAGGUCUUUCCACAGAAAAAUGGAAAGACCUUAUAAUAA
rnacentral:lncRNA from 1 species